rnacentral:lncRNA from 1 species
GAGUCACCAGGAGAGUGCCUGAGAGCCAAAGGUUGGAUGGAGAUCUAAGAUUCAGGAGAAAGACCACUGACCCAAGAAGACCACUGACCCAACUCAUGGCCAAAUGAAUCAGACUGUUUCUCUGUGAUCGAAAUGAACAACCAAAACUCAGAAUUUCUCUUGUUCUUAUGUUCUUCAUUCAUGCACCAUGAAGAAGAAAUUUCUCAGUGAGGAGAGAGUAGCAGUUACUGUGUAAGUGGGAGACCAUGGCUUGCUGCAUCUCUGGAGUAAACUCUCAGAAAUGUUGGGUGCUGCUUUGACGUACACAAAGAAUGGGAAAGGAAAGCAGCCCUCUGUGAGGAACGUGGAUGGAUAGUUUGGCAGAUGCUUCAACUGCUGUGUGGCAAGGCCAAGAGGAAGGAAAAUAUAUUCCAUUUUGGAGAUGACAUUUUCAAGUUUCACAUUCUAAUUAUUAGACACUUUCUCACAGUGUUUGCACUGUUUCAUUUUUAGAUGAAAAAUGAUUUAACACCCCAGUGUUAGAACUCUUCAUGAUGACAUAUUAUGUUCAGCUUGGGUCAUUCAAGUUCAAAGGUCCAGAGGACUGGGAAGACUGCUGCAAAGUGGUGUCUUCUGGACACAAGGAUGUUGCACCAAUAAACUCACAGCAGCUGUGGAAGACUGAAUAUUGAGGAGGAGGUACAGGUGGUCCACAGCUACUGGAGAAGGAAGAGUGGGUUUUCUUCAGGGAUGGGGACACUGGUAGGUUGCCGAUGCUCCAGUGGUUAUUCAAAGUACAAGAAGAGCACAUGAAUUUGAGAGCGAGAUGUUUGUGUGAGGAACUGAGGAGUUGUUGGGAAUAGGGUUGGUUAUGAUGAAAUGAGUUGUAUUUGGGUGAAGAUAAUAGCUACUUCCUGUGGGAGGAAAUGUGGAAGAACACUAGGCCAUUUUGCCAAUUCUUUUCCUGAAUUCAUAUGCCUUUCAUGAAAUCAAAGAUUAUUUUGAAAAAGAAGACAUAAUAAAAGCAUAGACAUAAUAAAACAAUGUAAUAUAUAAAAUGAAAUAGAGUAGUUGAUUUUCCUUUUUCUCUAGCAUUUGGUGUUUUUUUAACAGUAAGUGAACUGAGACCAACAGAGCAUUUCUCACCAUGACUGGGCUCCCUGGCAGAUGUUAGAGGGGUACUGGGUGGUGGCUGCAUGCUGUUCUUGUUAUCUGAAUGCUGAAGCCCUCCCCAGUCCUGACCAUCCUUCUUGCUCUUGGGGAAUGCUAGCCAUGAAUCUGCACUUAGAUGAAGGCCUUCACCUACUGAGACAACAAGCUGACAUAGUUUUGCAAGGUGUGUGUGUGUGUGUGUGUGUGUGUGUGUGUGUGUGUGUGUGUGUAAGUUUAUGAGGUCAGAAAUGCCAGGGUGUGUUAGUGUACUGACUGUAAUUGUUAGAUUUGAAAAAUGGGGUGAACCAAGUAAAAGAACAAAGAC